UAGGAUGAUGAUGAUGAUGAUGAUGAUGAUGAUGAUGAUGAUGAUGAUGAUGAUGAUGAUGAUGAUGAUGAUGAUGAUGAUGAUAUAACUUUUUUCCUAGUUGGCAAAAUCAAAAAGAGCCUUUUUUUCCAGCAAUGAAACUGAAAAACAAAAAAUAUGCAAACUGAAGAAAAGCAAUAUAUGGUCAGAUGAUGAAGAGGUAAAAAUCAGUCAUCUGAAUUUAAACAAUGCACAAUACUAAAUAAAUAUUAUUUCUUUUACAAAAAGAACUUUUUGUUUAAAAUACUAUUAUUGUUUUAUUUUAUUAAUAGAUUUUUUUUCAGGUUCAUUUUGAGGAGACCUCUGGAAGUUCACAAGUCCAAAACUAUUCUGAGAAAGAACAAUUAAAUAAUAGUAGGUAUAUAAGAAAAGAUGCAGCUAUGUUGCCAAUUAAAGGGUUUCCUUUAACUGAGUCAGAAUUUCAAGCAAAAGUAAUGAAAUACUUGAUCAAACAAGAUCAAAGACCUGAAAGUAUUGAGAAAAUUUUACUUAAUUUAACAUCUUCAACAGUUGGAGUACUAAAGAAGUAUCCCCAGUAUGUGAUUUAACUGAGUUACACAAUUUAGAGAAGAAAAUAGAAGAUGAAGAAGAAUUUAAUAAACUAGUUUUAUCACUCUCUGCUGCUGGGGGUAAAGAUGUUAAAGAUGUUGUGAAGAAUAUUAUGGAAAGUGUGGCUACGUAUGAUGUGUUGGCCAAGUUUAAUUUUCGGGGAACUAAUCGCCUCGAAAAAAAUAAAGAGCCAAGACCAAGUGCAGCAAUGAAAGAUAGAAAGUUUUUUAAAGAAGACGUGAUAAAGUGUGUAAAAGAAAUUUUACGUUAUGCUCCAGACAAGGCCACAGGUGGAAGGCGGUUUUCUGUAUAAAACUUUAAAAUUAUAAAAGCAUAAAAUGUAAAUUACUUGUUAACUUAAAAAUUAUAUUAUAUAUUAUAAUACCAAAACUA